rnacentral:rRNA from 1 species
UGCAAGUCGAGCGGACAGAAGGGAGCUUGCUCCCGGAUGUUAGCGGCGGACGGGUGAGUAACACGUGGGUAACCUGCCUGUAAGACUGGGAUAACUCCGGGAAACCGGAGCUAAUACCGGAUAGUUCCUUGAACCGCAUGGUUCAAGGAUGAAAGACGGUUUCGGCUGUCACUUACAGAUGGACCCGCGGCGCAUUAGCUAGUUGGUGAGGUAACGGCUCACCAAGGCGACGAUGCGUAGCCGACCUGAGAGGGUGAUCGGCCACACUGGGACUGAGACACGGCCCAGACUCCUACGGGAGGCAGCAGUAGGGAAUCUUCCGCAAUGGACGAAAGUCUGACGGAGCAACGCCGCGUGAGUGAUGAAGGUUUUCGGAUCGUAAAGCUCUGUUGUUAGGGAAGAACAAGUGCAAGAGUAACUGCUUGCACCUUGACGGUACCUAACCAGAAAGCCACGGCUAACUACGUGCCAGCAGCCGCGGUAAUACGUAGGUGGCAAGCGUUGUCCGGAAUUAUUGGGCGUAAAGGGCUCGCAGGCGGUUUCUUAAGUCUGAUGUGAAAGCCCCCGGCUCAACCGGGGAGGGUCAUUGGAAACUGGGAAACUUGAGUGCAGAAGAGGAGAGUGGAAUUCCACGUGUAGCGGUGAAAUGCGUAGAGAUGUGGAGGAACACCAGUGGCGAAGGCGACUCUCUGGUCUGUAACUGACGCUGAGGAGCGAAAGCGUGGGGAGCGAACAGGAUUAGAUACCCUGGUAGUCCACGCCGU